GGCAUCACAUUUAAUUUUGAGCAUUUAAGAGGAGAAGUCCUUCUCUUUUACUCCUCUUAAUUUUCUUUCCAUAUUUCCACACGUCCCUUUGUUUUUGGUGACAUGGGAUGGAACCUUGGGAUGUGGGGAUGUAGAAGAAAAGAAAGAGUCCUUCUCAAGCAAGGAGUUUGAAUGCAAAAAUUAAAUUGGGACCCCCUUCUUUUGUGCAUU
rnacentral:lncRNA from 1 species